GACAGAGGCCUCGAGCGUUAGGCGGAAUCACUGGGCUUAAAGCGUGUGUAGGCGGAAGCGUAAGUACCUUGUGAAAUCCCACGGCUCACCCGUGGAACCGCUGGGUAUACUGCGCUUCUUGGGCCACUCAGGGGCGACUGGAACAAGCGGUGGAGCGGUGAAAUGCGUAGAUAUCGCUUGGAACGCCAAAGGUGAAAACAGGUCGCUGGGAGUGCGCCGACGCUGAGACACGAAAGCCAGGGGAGCAAACGGG
rnacentral:rRNA from 1 species